rnacentral:rRNA from 1 species
AUGAACGCUGGCGGCGUGCCUAAUACAUGCCAGUCGCGCGAACAGACGAGGGGCUUGCUCCUCUGACGUUAGCGGCGGACGGGUGAGUAACACGUGGAUAACCUACCUAUAAGACUGGGAUAACUUCGGGAAACCGGAGCUAAUACCGGAUAAUAUAUUGAACCGCAUGGUUCAAUAGUGAAAGACGGUUUUGCUGUCACUUAUAGAUGGAUCCGCGCCGCAUUAGCUAGUUGGUAAGGUAACGGCUUACCAAGGCAACGAUGCGUAGCCGACCUGAGAGGGUGAUCGGCCACACUGGAACUGAGACACGGUCCAGACUCCUACGGGAGGCAGCAGUAGGGAAUCUUCCGCAAUGGGCGAAAGCCUGACGGAGCAACGCCGCGUGAGUGAUGAAGGUCUUCGGAUCGUAAAACUCUGUUAUUAGGGAAGAACAAAUGUGUAAGUAACUAUGCACGUCUUGACGGUACCUAAUCAGAAAGCCACGGCUAACUACGU